GAUGAACGCUAGCUACAGGCUUAACACAUGCAAGUCGAGGGGCAGCACAGUGUAGCAAUACAGUGGGUGGCGACCGGCGCACGGGUGCGUAACGCGUAUCCAACCUUCCCGUUACUCAGGGAUAGCCUUCCGAAAGGGAGAUUAAUACCUGAUGGUGUUCAAAUUCCGCAUGUUAUUUGAACUAAAGAUUUAUCGGUAACGGAUGGGGAUGCGUGACAUUAGGUAGAUGGCGGGGUAACGGCCCACCAUGCCUACGAUGUCUAGGGGUUCUGAGAGGAAGGUCCCCCACACUGGAACUGAGACACGGUCCAGACUCCUACGGGAGGCAGCAGUGAGGAAUAUUGGUCAAUGGUCGGAAGACUGAACCAGCCAAGUAGCGUGAAGGAUGAAGGUUCUAUGGAUUGUAAACUUCUUUUGUCUGAGGGUAAAAAAGCGGUCGUGUCCGUUCUUGCAAGUAUCAGACGAAUAAGCAUCGGCUAACUCCGUG
rnacentral:rRNA from 1 species